GGAUCCUGACAGUUACAUUCUACUGCAGCACGUUCUUCAUCUCGUGGUAGAACACACCGGUAAUCUCCGUCUUCAUGUCGCCGGAGUAGCUACCGAUCCAUCCAUGGUCUCCACAAUCAAGAUCACGCUCUUCCUAUCGGUUUUCCUCGUCCUCCGGAAGGUUCACCGGAUGAAUUGGGUGCCCGAGGUCGGGGGCUGGCAUUACCACUGCGACGGUCACUCCUCACAACCAGAGGUGAUAAGAGGAAGAAGACGGACGAGUUUUCAUCUUUACGUUGACUUGUAAAGGUUUUCAUGGGUAAGAGAAUCCAGAUUCUUUCAAAGAUACAGUCUUUUGUACAUAGGGACACGUGUCGCACCAUAUUUGGUCUAACACGUAUCUCCCAAAUUGGGAUACCCUUAUCGGUAAUGAGUGCUUUCGAGUCUCCGUUCACAGUAGACUUUCCUUGUUAGGGUUUCGAUUUUCUCUAAUCAGUUGCCAGGGGAAUACUAAGUUUUUCACUUUGUAGAGGAUGAUCGGACUAAUUGAGAGCUUUGCUUUGCUUGAAUCUCUCCUAAAUCGUCACAAAUGGCGGGUUCUCUUGCUCAACAAGUAAUUAAUCUAUUGAAGAGACUGGGGAAGAAAUUCAUUACGGUUGCAGAGAUUGUGUUUGUUCUGGUCAAUCACAAGAAACAACUUAUGUCUUCAAGAGCAGUUUAUGUACCAGAUCAGGCGAAAGGGAACAGAUGCUCUGCCUUUCUUUGGUCUCGAAAUCACUCCCUGCUUGAGAAUGAAUGGUGGUUUUUAAAUUAAGACCCUGAAAUCUGGCCAGAAUACUUUUAAGUGAAAUAGCACUCAGCAAAUGAUGAACCCCUGAACGAUCUGUUCAAGUUUCAGCAUACUUGGGGGAGCUUCUGGCGCAGAUUAUGUGUGAGAACCAGGAGCCAGAUGCUGCGGAGGAGGUCUCCAGCUUCUCCAGAUUCUGGCGCUAAUGAUUCCAAAUGCCAAUAUCUCAUUGAACAGGACCUUUUAACUUGCAUAAUAGGGAGAAAUUGGAUUCUCAGAAUCUGAAUAGCGGAAGUUGGAGAAGCUCUUGUAAACAUGCUCUAAAACCUUCUCUGUAUUUUAGUCCUGAAGUGGGUAGGGGAAAAAAAAGAAAGUAAUGAAGACGGAGAAACUACUGUGCAGAUUAUUAAAACUAGCCAUUCGAUGAGUUGCAUGGGCACACUGACAAAAUCUUAAAUUGUAGAGUGCUGGAUCACUUGGAGCUCUUGCAGGAUUUGCUAUUGCCACAAUUUUUUCUUGGAAGUUGUUGAGAUCUAAUGGUAGACCACGAAGUAGCCUGCAGAAACAGACAAGUUCAGCGUCUACUAGUAAUGGAUCAAAUGAAGAUGUUUCUUCAUAUGAAACUCGCCGGCUAGAACAGAAUUUGAGCUGACAGUUGGACAAAGAGUGAGGAAGAAACUAAGUGGAAGCCGCAAGGGAGGAUGUAGCACGCAUAUAUACAGCUGAGGUUGUUUUUUCCGUUUCACUUCCUUACGAAUGGCACUAUGCAUAGGGAUUUAAAACCAGAAAAGUACUUCCAGGCAAUGUCGACCGAUUUUAGUCUGGCAAAGUAAUUUAAUAAGAGUACAAGAUCAAACUCCAUGUGUGGAUCAGUAGAAUGCAUGGCACCUGAAAUUGUUCUUCGGAAAGGCCAUGAUAAGGCUGCAGAUUGGUGGAGUAUGGGAGUCCUGUUGUUCAAGAUGCUCACUGGGAAGUUAGCUAUCGCCAAAGACCUUGAAGCUGCCUUCUUCAAAAUAUUGGAAAGCCUUCAACCUUGUUAAGUCGCGGAAUAAAAGCUGGAACUCAAAUAUUUUCUGUUUACAGUCUGAACCUGUUCCAUUAAAUAUUUAAUGUUGUUUAUUGUCUUAUUUAUUUAUUUAUUUAUUUUUUUAGUAUAAUGCUGAACGGAAUGGUCUUUGUAUCUUAUUUUAUACUUCUCACCCAUUAAUUUAUUAUCAGUUUAGAAAUAUAUAUUCUUUUU